UUCAAAUGAAGCGACAGUCAUUGAUUCGUGUGCAGCUUAUAGCACGGCUCAUUCCCAGAGAACACUGGGACCCUGCUCACCAUCUGCACCGGGGAGCACCAGAAGGGUAUUUACCUGGGCUCUGAGAAUAAAAACAACCGAAGCUAAAUAAGCAGGAACAGACCUUGAUGCACAGAGACUGAUGGCAGCGCAGAAGCAGAAGCAGCUCAGACUCAUCCGUCUCCAGCAGCAUCUCCGUGAUCUGAUUCGCCAGCGGCCCGACCGCAUCCUGCACCAGCGGGAAGAGACUGAGACCUGCGGAUCAAACUACAUCAGACAAGAGCUCGACAAGAUCAACAGGACACAAUAAUACAGGAGUGAACUUGCCCAGCAUCUGCUUCUGGUUUUCUGCUGGGCUGGACACGGUUUUGCGCACAGGUUAAAUUCGAAUCUGUGAGAGACGCGCACCUGUUGAACAGCCCACUGCUGCUGCGGAUCACUUGUGAACUCGUGAUGAUUGUGAACUUCAGGCGUGUAGAUGUGCUGCGGUGACCAGACACUGUGAUUCACUGUAAGAGAGAGAUGAUACAGAAAUGCACCGGAAGCUCUUGAUGACACAUCACAGAUGUUUUUUAAAAUCUGUGGAUGAUCAGAGAUUGUGAUGUGAAUCUGGACCUGCUGCAGGCGUCUCAUCAUGUGUUGGUGGAUGAGCAGAGCCUGGCGCUCCUUCUUCCUCUGGGCCAGAGCCACAUAUAUGGGCUUGGAGUCGAUGAUGCG